rnacentral:rRNA from 1 species
GACGAACGCUGGCGGCGUGCUUAACACAUGCAAGUCGAACGAAGUGGCGAACGGGUGAGUAACGCGUAAUCAACCUGCCCUUCAGAGGGGCACAACAGUUGGAACCGACUGCUAAUACCGCAUACUGAAGGGCGGGUUUGCGUCUGAUUAGCUAGUUGGGGGGGGAACGGCCCACCAGGGCGAUGAUCAGUAGCCGGUCUGAGAGGAGGAACGGCCACAACUGGACUGAAGCACGGCCCAGACUCCUACGGGGGGCAGCAGUGGGGAAACUUUCGGAAAGGAAGGAAGUCGGACGGAGCAACGCCGCGGUAGGGAUGACGGCCUUCGGGUUGGAAAGCUAUGUUAAUCGGGACGCGGUACCGGAAUAGAAAGCCACGGCUAACUACGUGCCAGCAGCCGCGGUAAUUC